CAGCAGCCACGGUAAUACGAAGGGGGCUAGCGUUGUUCGGAUUUACUGGGCGUAAAGCGCACGUAGGCGGAUCGAUCAGUCAGGGGUGAAAUCCCAGAGCUCAACUCUGGAACUGCCUUUGAUACUGUCGAUCUGGAGUAUGGAAGAGGUGAGUGGAAUUCCGAGUGUAGAGGUGAAAUUCGUAGAUAUUCGGAGGAACACCAGUGGCGAAGGCGGCUCACUGGUCCAUUACUGACGCUGAGGUGCGAAAGCGUGGGGAGCAAACAGGAUUAGAUACCCCCGUAGUCCCUGUCUCUUAUAA
rnacentral:rRNA from 1 species